rnacentral:lncRNA from 1 species
UACUUAAAUUUUAUCAAAAAUCGUUUUUUCAAAAUUAGUAUUUACGAUUCACUUCUCUUGAUUUUUUGUUAGCAGCUAUUACCUACACUGCAAUAGAUUUCUUCGAUGUUUUAUGUUUAUGUUACAAUAUAUUGUGUAAAAGUAUUAGUGUAGCGUAGGAAUAAAUAUUCCAAAACAUGGGACGCAUCUUCCGCAAGAUCAGACUUUUAGUUUGGAAGAAUUUUGUUUUACAGAUUAGACGACCGAUUGGUACAGCAGUUGAAAUAAUAUUACCAGUUGCAUUUAUAGCCUUACUUAUACUUGCCAGGACUGGAAUAAAAGAAAACAAGAAAUGUUUU